UUGACAUGCCAGGAACCCUGCUGAGAGUGGGGGUGCUCGAAAGAGAGCCUGGGCACAGGUGCUGCAUGGCUGUCGUCAGCUCGUGUCGUGAGAUGUUGGGUUAAGUCCCGCAACGAGCGCAACCCUUGUCAUUAGUUGCCAUCAUUUAGUUGGGCACUCUAAUGAGACUGCCGGUGACAAACCGGAGGAAGGUGGGGAUGACGUCAAGUCCUCAUGGCCCUUAUGGGUAGGGCUUCACACGUCAUACAAUGGUCGGUACAGAGGGUUGCCAAGCCGCGAGGUGGAGCCAAUCCCAGAAAGCCGAUCGUAGUCCGGAUCGGAGUCUGCAACUCGACUCCGUGAAGUCGGAAUCGCUAGUAAUCGUGGAUCAGCAUGCCACGGUGAAUACGUUCCCGGGUCUU
rnacentral:rRNA from 1 species